CUAGUCUCCCGGUCAAGUCUUUGAGACUCAAAAGCCACUGUAGGCUGGCGUGGUCGGUGAUGACAGUAAAUGGCAUCAUUUCCACAUAUGGUCGGAAUCGAUGGAUUGCGAGCUUCGCGGCUAAGCACUCCUUCUCCGUCACCGUGUAGUUGAUCUGAUGCUUUUUCAACUUCGCUGAAAAGAAUGCGAUCGGCCUUUCCUGCUGCUCGUCAUCCAGUUGAAAAAGCACAGCUCCAACGCCAAAGUGAGAAACAUCGCACUGAAUGAAGAAGGGCCGUUUAAAGUCAGCAUGGACUAACACUGGAGCUGUGCGCAUCAGUCAAUGGAACGGAGAUCUCCGCGAAGUUUUUAAUGAACCGGCGAUACCACCCCGCCGUACCUAGAAAACUCCUGAGCUCCUUGACGUUUCUGGGAACGGGAAUGUUUCUGAUCGCCUCCACUCUGCCUGUAUCCAUCCUUAACGUUCCGCCACCUAUAACGUAACCCAGAUAUUUUAUGCUGCGGAAACAGAAUUUGGAAUUCGACAUGCCAAUAGUGAGGUUGGCCUUUUUCAAACACUCUGCGACCAAUCGGAGAUACUUGAUGUGCGUCUGAAAAUCGGCUGAAAUGAUGAGGAGAUCGUCCAAGUACACGAAG